rfam:Macrostomum lignano uti_cns_0004943, whole genome shotgun sequence.
GGUCGUGUAGCUCAGUUGGUUAGAGCGUCGUGCUGAUAACGCGAAGGUCGAGGGUUCGAGCCCCUCCCCGACCA